rnacentral:tRNA from 1 species
ACCUGGCUGGCUUAGUCGGAAGAGCAUGCGACUCCUGAUCUCCAGGCCAUGAGUUCGAGCCCCACGCUGGGUG